rnacentral:rRNA from 1 species
AACGAACGCUGGCGGCAGGCCUAACACAUGCAAGUCGAGCGAGGUAGCAAUACCUAGCGGCGGACGGGUGAGUAACGCGUGGGAACGUGCCCUUUGCUACGGAAUAGCCCCGGGAAACUGGGAGUAAUACCGUAUGUGCCCUUCGGGGGAAAGAUUUAUCGGCAAAGGAUCGGCCCGCGUUGGAUUAGGUAGUUGGUGGGGUAAUGGCCUACCAAGCCGACGAUCCAUAGCUGGUUUGAGAGGAUGAUCAGCCACACUGGGACUGAGACACGGCCCAGACUCCUACGGGAGGCAGCAGUGGGGAAUCUUAGACAAUGGGGGAAACCCUGAUCUAGCCAUGCCGCGUGAGCGAUGAAGGCCUUAGGGUUGUAAAGCUCUUUCAGGUGGGAAGAUAAUGACGGUACCACCAGAAGAAGCCCCGGCUAACUCCGUGCCAGCAGCCGCCGUAACAC